UUCUUAUCAAGAGAGGUGGAGGGAUAGGCCCUUUGAAACCUCGGCAACGGACUUUAUAGAACCGUGCCAACUCCCACAAGCAGUGCUUGAAAGAUAAGAA
rnacentral:ncRNA from 3 species